ensembl:lncRNA
GUUGAGGCGUUAUGUUAUAAAUGCAAGUUUAAGACUUUUGCUUAAUUGAGGAGCAGAGAUCCAGAGGAGUGUGAAGGCUGGGGAAGGGGUAAAGGUGCAGUUAAUUCUCUAACGGAUGCUGGCUGGGAUUCUGGGUUACUCUGCACACAGGGCAGUUCUCCAUUUGUGGUGGUGAAGGAGCUGCUGAUCACAGCCAAGGCUAAAAGGGACCAGGAGUGCCUUGUCACAGGAUGUUUAGGUGAUUGCGGAUGCCCAGUGCCUGACUGCAGCAGUGACCUUGUGCAGAGAGAAGCUGGUGCUGCUGUGGAUUAUGGCUCUGCGAUGAGGAUGAAUGAGUUUGUGAUCCAAAUGGGAAAGAAGUCAACUGGAAGUCAGAGAAGAGAUAAAUUAAUAAUUGCAAAUGCUGCAUAAUUGCAGAUAAAUUCCAGUAGGCUUGCAUUAAUUGAAAACCCAAACCCUCAUGAGAUCAAUGAGGAUUUACCAUUGACCUCAGCCAGGAGAUGUGGAUGGUGACUGAGCCACUAAUGUAAACUUGUAUCCUGAUUGUUUUAAAAACAUGUAUUAUUGGCCUGGUUCAUAGCAAUAAUCUGUGGAUAAAUACAACCCAUCCCUGCCCAGUCACAGUUGCAGAGACCUACUGCAGAAAAUGGAACCAGAAAGAUCUGGAGACACACACUGGGAGAAAUCCUCUUUAAUACAGCGCUUCAAAUGGAAUGCCUGCAGUGCUACAUGGCAAAUUUAAAGCUAAAAUCCACACCUCAUUAACAACGAAUCCUGAUGAGUAAGUUAAGUAGAAGAAACAUCAAUAAUUUAUGGUGAUGAACUCAGCGUUUUCUCUCUCCUUUUUUUUCUUUUUGUGUUGCAUCUGUCUUUGGAAGCCUCCAGUAUGUUACAAAUGAAGUGCCAGAGAUGAGCUAGAAAGAAAAAAGCUAGGAGCUUUUCCAGGGAGACAGAGAAUAAAUAUAGAACUCCACAAAUGCAAACACACAUGCUUUGGACAGUUAAGAAUUUUUAAUCACACAGUGUUUUAUCUUCUCAGAACUUCCCAAGUGGCAAAAUAUAUCCCCAGGAAAAGAAAUGACAGCAGACAAAAAGCAAAGAGAACCAGAAAACAAAAUUCAAAUCAGAAAGCUUACCAUAAUACAAUUCAGAAUUCUUUGUUCCCUGAAUGAUAAAAGAAAAGUAGUUGUCAAGACUAUGGCCAGUUUUACUCAAAGAAGGCUACCAAUUUAACAGUGGGUAAAUAUCUUCCAGAUAUCUUGGCUGAGAAAGAGCAGAGAGAAUGAACCAAAUGAUUAGAUUUCAAAGUGUGAGUGAUAUAGCUGCAUUUUGUAUUGGUGUUUGUCAGCCUGUGUUAUUUCUGCAGUUGCCUAGCAUGGCUUUACCUUAGAGCUCUACCCUACAGUAAUUCCCAGAUCAGAUAUCCCAUGUGUAACAGUAGGAGGAACCUUUUUUCAGAAGGUCUGCUGUAUGUUGGUGAUCUCUUUUAUCCAGCUCUAUUACUGUUACCUCCUUUUUUGAAUAAGCACUUGGCAAAUAUAAUUUCUGCUGGUGAAGGAAACUGAAGAUGGAGACAGGCGUUCCUUUGAAGAAGAUACCUGUCUUUUCGAAGACUAUAAAAAUUCUGCUACCUUAAAUACAAUAAAAACCUAAUAUUACGAAGCUUUAAAUGAAGUAAUUUCUUUCUUCAAAGUCCUCAAACUCUUUCCAUGGUACUACACAUGUUCUUUUACUCAGAGUCAUAGUAUGGGAAGCUUUCUUGAUGUGGAUCCCUCCUGUGCCUCCACUGCAGUUGGACAUCUGAAUAAAAGUGCAUUUGAAUCAA